GAAAUAGAACCUGAAACCGGAUGCAUACAAACAGUGGGGAGCCUCGAAAGGGGGUGACUGCGUACCUUUUGUAUAAUGGGUCAGCGACUUACGUUCAGUAGCAAGCUUAACCGAAUAGGGGAGGCGUAGGGAAACCGAGUCCGAAUAGGGGCGUUCAGUUGCUGGGGCGUAGACCCGAAACCAAGUGAUCUAUCCAUGGCCAGGUUGAAGGUGCGGUAACACGCACUGGAGGACCGAACCCACUAAUGUUGCAAAAUUAGGGGAUGAGCUGUGGAUAGGGGUGAAAGGCUAAACAAACUUGGAAAUAGCUGGUUCUCUCCGAAAACUAUUUAGGUAGUGCCUCAGGUAUUACUGACGGGGGUAGAGCACUGUUAUGGCUAGGGGGUCAUCGCGACUUACCAACCCAUGGCAAACUCCGAAUACCGUCAAGUACGAGCCUGGGAGACAGACAUCGGGUGCUAACGUCCGGUGUCAAGAGGGAAACAACCCAGACCGCCAGCUAAGGUCCCAAAUGACAUGCUAAGUGGUAAACGAGGUGGGAAGGCGAUAGACAGCCAGG
rnacentral:rRNA from 1 species